GGCAGCAUAAGUUAAUUCAAAGUCAGGAUGGGCAUGAGAGAGCUCACUGGGUUUACUCCCUGUGAUUGAUAACAAUUACCUGCCAUUUGCAGACUAUUUCUUGUUCCCUCCCUCUUUCUCAGUACUUCCUGGUACUGACAGGGACCACGUGACUGGUUCCAGCCAAUGCAACGCAAGUAGAAGUGAUGGGUCACUUCUGGGCUGAGUGUUUCCCUGGGGGUGCAAAUCCCUCCAGAGCUGUCUCUUUCUCUGUUACAGCAACCAGUUAUGUGCAAGAUGGUGGCCACUCUGACUACCCGGGUAACAAAGGGACAAUGCCACCACCCAGGAUGUACAUGAACCUUUCUUAUUUUAAGCCACUGACAUUUGGGAGUUGAUUCUUACUAGCCUAUUCUGACAAAUUUUUUUAAAUGAUUAUUUUUGCAAUAAACUGAUUCUUCAUUUUGCCUUAUAAAGAUGGUUAUCUACAUUAGAAACAGUAUACAAUUUGGGCGGGUGAGAGGUGCUUCAUAUCUCCGGGUUAAUAAUGUGCAGUGAUGAAUAGGCAGAAAGCAGGAAACAACCGUGGCCACGAAGAUAGUUGUUUUUCUAAAUCAGGGAACUAGAAAAGCCUUCAGAUUCAGACGGGGCAAAGACUGGGGCUAAGAGUUACCUGUCCCCAAAUUCCUUUUGUUUUAUAAGAGAAGUCUGGUUAAAAUGAACUUCAGAAGUUGCUUUGAAGAGGAAAAAUCGGGGGAAAGGAGACAAAAUAUACAACUAGAAUCGGCUAAUAACAGCUGUGACUUACCAUUUCCCCCAACUACUGCCGGCUGGUCAGGGAAAGAAAUCAUGAGACUGCCGAGCCGCUUGCUCUACCCCGGGGAGCGACAGGAGAAGCAGGUGUGGCUGAAGAUGCAAAGGUCUGAGGUUCCUUUGCUGCGUGUCAACUCCUGGCCUCGCAGCUGUGAAUGCCCAGCUUUUUACCUUCUCCGUGUUAUGACGACAGGAACACUCACAUUUCACUUGCUCAAAAUAACGUGCAUGUCAUACGAAAAGUGAACUUGAUCUCUUGAACUUCCAGAAAACCCUCAUUUGCAGCGGGUGAGCUUUCGUUUUUGGAAUACAAAUACAAUUUAGGAUCCCUCUUUACACUCUGGCUCUGCGUCAUCCCGCAGCUUCUUCAACAGAUUUUCUUUUUGCCCAUGGCAAUGUGAAACAAAGUUUUGUUUUUUUGUUUUUUGUUUUUUUUUUUUUUUUGCUUCCCAAAAUGACAAUAUUGAGAACAUCUGGUUUGUAGCCAUCUUAAAGUUUGUUCUGCAAUGCCAUUAGGUUUAAACAUCCGUCAUUAAAUCAAGGGAUUGACAAAAUGCUCUGAGUUGAAUUGCAACAGAGGGUACUACAUAAUUAUCUUUUUUUUGGAAACAAAUUGAAAAAGAGUUAAUUGUCUCUUCUUGAAGAGUGUGGGUCCAAAUCACCAAAGGUAUCUGUUUUCUUUUCCAAAUGAGAAAAUGUAUUUAAUUUAUUCUACUAAUUUUCCAUUUUCUGUCCCACUGACUACUAUAUUUAAUUAUUCUAAAUCUCUCUCCACAUAAAGACAGUGAUGCGCUUCUGACAGUCAUUACAAAGAUAUUGUUUUGUAAAUGUCUUUGCCUAUUUGAAAAGCACUAAAAGUUUUCAGCAGUUUUGCCCCCCACUGGUUUCCUAGGCAGGCACGGAUCAAUAUGUCAUUUGAUAAAAUACAGUGCAGGGACACUACCCCAUCAGAGUCCGGGUUCUCCUGACGUCUCCUGGUGCCAGCAUCUUGCUCUGUUUUCACGUUCUCCGGGAAAGAAGAACUGAUCAAACAUAACGUGCACUGUGAUUAGCUGUUUAAGCUGAAAGUGAUAACAGAUGAAUAUCAUUAAGACUCCAGGACCUCUUAAAUCCAGAAAGAAAACUAAGGCUGGAUGAGUAAAGAGGCUGGCAGGUUGCCCUUCAGUACCCAGCUGAACAGCUCAUCCACUGUGAGGGAAGUCAUAUGCGAUUGAUUAAAUAUAAGCUCUCUAGACAGCCUGAUACCACUCCCAAAGCUUUUACAGUGAUGUCUUUCCCAAGUGGUGGAAUGAAGCAGCUUUUCUCUGCUUUAUUGGGAAAUGGGAAAACCCUGGUGUCUUCCUUUUAUUCCCUAAGUUCAAGCUGCUUUUAGUUAUCAUUUAUGUAAAGGAUUAGAUAAUGUGAGAAUAUUUAUUAUGCUUGAAAAACAUCAUUUUUAGUCAAAUUUUAAAGUUUCAAUUUUUAUUUUAAAGACGGGGGUACAUGUGCAGGUUAGUUACACGGGUAGAUUGCACCCAGAUAGUAAGCAUAGUUACCCAAGAGGUCGUUUUUCAACUCAUCCCUCCAAAAAAAUUUUUAAAAGAAUUUGCUUCUUAAGAAAUCUAGUAUAUAGAAACACUAUCUUUUCUGUAUGUAAUUAUUUUUAGUUUGGAUAAGAUACCUUUUUUUGAAUGGUUACUAAAUUAUUCAGAAUGCUAGAUCCCAAAGCACAAAGAAAGAGAAUAAAAAUUAAGCAAAAGCAGGGUCU
rnacentral:lncRNA from 10 species